GCCUUGUUCCCUCUAUUUAUUGUUCCGAACGGAACGCGUCAGUGAAAUCCACCCUCACAGAGCGUAGCCAAUCACCUUUAGAAUUUCAACAGGAACUAGGCGGAUCAUUUGACGACGAGCCCACUCAUACACCUCAUGACCUAAAGCUAAGAUGAUUUAUUAUAUUAACAAGAGAGACGAGUGACCACUCUAACAAUGGAAAUACAUGUGCUCAACGAUUGAAGACAGACAAGAUUCUAACCAAUGAGUGGGCAGAACCACCUGCAACUGGACAAGGACAUGUAUAAGAUAUCUGGUUUCCAGAAUUGGGAAUGAAGAGAGUACUGCCAAUACCAGGGUGUCACGUCUGGAGGAAACCUGGCACCAUCCCUACGGUGAAUCAUGGUGAUGGCAGCAUCAUACUGUGGGAAUGUUUUUCAGCGGCAGGGGACUGGGAG